rnacentral:rRNA from 1 species
AUUGAACGCUGGCGGUAUGCUUAACACAUGCAAGUCGAACGGUAGCAGGCCUUCGGGCGCUGACGAGUGGCGGACGGGUGAGUAACGCGUAGGAAUCUGCCUCAUAGUGGGGGACAACGUGGGGAAACUCACGCUAAUACCGCAUACGCCCUACGGGGGAAAGCGGGGGAUCGCAAGACCUCGCGCUAUGAGAUGAGCCUGCGUUAGAUGAGCUAGUUGGUAGGGUAAAGGCCUACCAAGGCGACGAUCUAUAGCUGGUCUGAGAGGACGAUCAGCCACAAUGGGACUGAGACACGGCCCAGACUCCUACGGGAGGCAGCAGUGGGGAAUAUUGGACAAUGGGCGCAAGCCUGAUCCAGCAAUACCGCGUGUGUGAAGAAGGCCUUAGGGUUGUAAAGCACUUUCAAUGGGGAGGAAAACCUGCCGGUCAAUACCCGGUAGCUUGACAUUACCUAUAGAAGAAGCACCGGCUAACUCCGUGCCAGCCGCCGCCGUAAAAC